ACUUCUUGAAGACAUACCCUUCCUUAUCCCAUCAUCACUAAGUAGUGUUUUACCGAGAAGCAAACAACUGGUUGUGAAGCAUUGUUCCUACUGAAAACAGUACUUGAAUUCCAAUGACUGCAGAUUGCACAGAGACCAAACCCGACUUUUAAGUUAGCUUUUUUUCAGAUGAAUUAUGAACUACCUGAAUGGUAGAUAGAGGACAAAAGUAAUUUUUCAGGAAAUUCUGCCAUGAAGAUGGUGGCUUUGUGAUUGAUGUGAUAGUGUUGCAACACCUUCCCUUAAGCAGGUUUUGAUCAUGAGAUUACACCGGCUUUGUGGGCAUAAGACUCAGUCACAGGAAAAUCCCUUCUUUUUUUAAUGCCUUAUUCCUAUGAGAAGUUCUUGCUCAAUAAAGAAGACUCAUUAAUGGAAAAUAUGAUCAAGACAAUAAGGAUUAGUAAUAUGAGUAACACUGCAGACAGAGGUACAAAAUAUAUCUUUUCUAGAACAUGGCUUAUUCAACCAGCAUCGUUGUCUGGAAUCGUCAAAAAGCUUCUGCGUCACUGUCUGUCUGUUGAAAGGUGGACACUAAGCUAAGGAAAAGGAACAAUUCUAAUAGGCAGCACAGAAUUACUGUAGUGCUUACUGGUAUGAUGCUUGCAUUGCAGAGAAGGCUGUCCAAGAGGCUGCCUACAAACAACAGUGGGAUGGAGAGGUACCAAAGCAGUUCUGAACUGUGAAGUUGCUGUAGUGAGAAACUCAGUGCAAGCUAAAUUGCCUGGAAAACACACAGCUCCCAAAUGAGGAAUUGCCAUCAGGAUGGUACAGAUAGACUUUCAAAGUUCGGGGGUGGUUUAACACUCACCUUACAAACAAACUACACAUCACUGACAAAACAAGUGAAUACAUUCACAAGCUUCAUGCUGCUUGGAGAGAACUGAGCUAGGUGAAUCCUUGGAAAAGUAAGAACAAGCCAGAAUGAAACAUCAUCUUCCAUGGAGUCCCAAUUUCUGUCAUGUUAGCUGCAACAAGAGAAAAAAAAUCACUCAAAGAUACCAGGUUGAGGUUGCUGAUGUUCCCAGUCCACCGUACUUGACAGGAAGCUGCUGGAGGCCCUGUGAUCUGCCCAUUCAGACCAGAGAAUGGUCUGGGUUUUGGGCUUGUACGGCUUAUGCUCCUUUCCCCUUCCCUUCCUCUGAGACAGAUGACCUACAGCUGAUCACCA